GUAGGGGGCAAGCGUUGUCCGGAUUUAUUGGGCGUAAAGAGCGUGUAGGCGGCCAGGCAGGUCCGUUGUGAAAACUAGAGGCUUAACCUCUAGACGUCGAUGGAAACCGUCUGGCUAGAGUCCGGAAGAGGAGAGUGGAAUUCCUGGUGUAGCGGUGAAAUGCGCAGAUAUCAGGAAGAACACCCGUGGCGAAGGCGGCUCUCUGGGACGGUACUGACGCUGAGACGCGAAAGCGUGGGGAGCGAACAGGAUUAGAUACCCUGGUAGUCCACGCCGUAAACGAUGGGUGCUAGGUGUGGGAGGUGUCGACUCCUUCCGUGCCGAAGCUAACGCAUUAAGCACCCCGCCUGGGGAGUACGGCCGCAAGGCUAAA
rnacentral:rRNA from 1 species